rnacentral:rRNA from 1 species
AUCUCAAACUAGGNACAGAGUCUAACUUGCGACCGCCGUCCGGAUUGUGUACGUUCAGCUCGCCGUCGCUGAAUUGACUUGGAAGCCCCUUGCAAUUCCCGCCGCUCGCCGCCUGCCCACUCAUUACGGACCCUUAUACGGGACUACACCCCCUAUUGAUAACCUUUGCUAUCGAUUAUGGCGUAUUAGAGAAGCCUCGUUUCUCCCCCUGGAAGCCCGGAGAGCGCAGUCCUAAUCGGGUCCACCCUAAUCGAACAACCACUCCAUUACCGAGUGGUUCCGUUGCUAGGGAUCGACCAGACUCUCCUACUAGUCGGUGUGACCUUGACUCUGUGCCAGGUCUGAGGAUGCCCUCCGUCGUCACCCCUUAUAACGUGUUACCCCCUUUGGGACUACGUCGGUACGGCGCACAUACUUCUUCCGGAAGCCCAACAUUUCAUGAAAGUCAUCCCUCCUUCCGUCACAGCAAUUAUCGCCGUAACAAACUGCAAUGGAUGUCUUCUUCGUGGCCGAUUGAGGCACGGUCGUCGGCGCCAUUAUGCCUCCCACGCUCGCAAUUAGCCUUAAUGACCCGCAUUUCGCGUACGUCCGCCAGACAAUUCGUUCUACACUUUCGGGCCCCGAGUUGGAGCCUUGUCGUAAAACUUGACCGUCUGAUCUCAGAACAUCUCCCCCCAUCUUAAAGUCCACAUCGCCACUUUACGCAUCUCUAGACUUCCUUAUGGCCACCGCUUCCGCCGGGGGACCUGUUUCUGACUGCGAGUCUACGCUUUCGCACCCCUCGUUUGUCCUAAUCUAUGGGACCAUCAGGUGCGGCAUUUGCUACAGAUGAACCUCCAACACCGGAACUCGGCACCGAAAGCCUCGAUUGCGCAAUUCAUCUGGCGGACCCCUCAUGCCAGCGUUCUAAUUUUGAGUUUACUUAACUGCCCCCGGGCGUGUUCGCCACCUCGUACACCAAAUUAAGCUACGUUGCGCUUCUUGGAAUGGAUGAGAACUGUAGGUCUCUUGAAUGGUCUCUACCAAACCACGGAAGCCCUUGAGACUCUGUCCACGACGUACCGACAGCAGUCGAGCACAACACUUUACAACCCAAUUCAGGGCGUUGCUCGCGUUGGGAAUAGGAACAAACGGUCGUGAAGCCCACCCUUGAGGUCCCUCUGACGGCCACUAUUUGGCCUCCUUCCACCCCUGCUGCAGUUCAGUAGUACCGGGAAUGCUCAUCCCGAUGUGUGCACGAUGUUACCGCAUAUGUCUCCCGACGGUUGAGCGCUCUCACUCGCUUAGGGUCUUUCAUGCAGCAUCAGGCCUAACCUCAGACGUUGAGCUGAGGUACUUCAGCCUUAGCGAUCAUUAGCACUUAGUCUUACAGUGCCACUUAUGCAAGGGCCCGGAACAUGUGUGGCGGGCAGUGUGGUACCCUCACCCGACGUGGUCUUCAUCUAUCGAAUUGGAAGCCCUCCCGCAAAUGGUGCCACACCAAGUACUGACCCCACUUCAGCAUUGUUCCAUCGGGAUCCCCUUGGACCCCGACCUAGUGGAGGAAU